AGGGGGAAAUCAAGCCAGAUUCCAUGGCAGCGAUUAUAGUUUUUGGUUUGGGGUAGUACCAUUAACCUAACACAAAGCAAAGUAAGGUGGAGGAUCGUGAUAAUCCUCCGUUACAACCAUGUGCAGUAGUUCAGUCUGUGACAGCCAUGCUUCCUUCUCGAUUUAUCUACCUACAGAGGCUCGGUGCUCCUUUCACGGCAAAAGAAAACCAAAGAGCAUCUGGCACUAUAUGAGCAUGGUGCAUUCAUAUAUAUAUGUUUGACCCGGGAGGAAUGCAAGGUGGAACGGGCUUAGUCUUUGCUGUUCAAUCAAAUGUUUGGGCGUGAGGCCGCCAAGGAGUUGGAUUACGUGGAAUGCUUUCCCGAAGGAUAUCGUACAGGAACUAAAAUGAUCAAGGCAUGCAUAGACGCCAAACUUGACGGUUUCCCUACGUGGAUUAUCAAUGGCCAGGUUCUAAGUGGUGAGCAAGAAUUAUCGGAGCUGGCUCAAGUGUCUGGUUAUAAAGAAUCUGUUCAACCUAGUUAAGGCUGGACUAAAAGUAACAAAGGUAGCAUUGUAGAAUUCUUAGUUGCACAUUGUACAGCUUAUAGAUGAAUAGUUUGUCCUUUUGUAGGCAUAUCUCUCGUUACAAAUUCCAUCUCAUUGCACUAUAAUACUGGCACGUUAUAAAUUAUAAAUUAUCAGAUGUUUUUAAUUGCUAUAUGUCCAUUAUGAUAUCAAUAUGAUUUUUGAAGUUGUGAAAAAUUGUAAAA